rnacentral:rRNA from 1 species
AGAGUUUGAUCCUGGCUCAGGACGAACGCUGGCGGCGUGCCUAACACAUGCAAGUCUACUCAGCAAUGGGUGGCGAACGGGUGAGUAACGCGUAGACAAUCUGCCCUUUAAUCACGGAUAACCUAGUGAAAACUGGACUAAUACGGGAUGUGGUCGCGAUAUGGCAUCAUAUGCGAUCAAAGACAUAGUCGUUAAAGGAGGAGUCUGCGUAACAUUAGCUAGUUGGUAAGGUAACGGCUUACCAAGGCGACGAUGUUUAGCUGGUCUGAGAGGAUGAUCAGCCACACUGGGACUGAGAUACGGCCCAGACUCCUACGGGAGGCAGCAGUGAGGAAUAUUGCACAAUGGGGGCAACCCUGAUGCAGCAACGCCGCGUGUACGAUGACACAGUUUAUCUGCGUAAAGUACUGUUAACCGGGACGAAAAGAUGCAUGGACUGCAUUAAUAUGACGGUACCGGUAGAGGAAGCUCCGGCUAACUCCGUGCCAGCAGCCGCGGUAAUACGGGGGGAGCUAGCGUUGUCCGGAUUUAUUGGGCGUAAAGGGCAUGUAGGUGGGACUUUAAGUCAGUUGUUAAAUAUUACGGCUUAACUGUAUUAUGCAAUUGAUACUGGAGUUCUUGAGUAUGAGAGGGGACAGAGGAAUACCUGGUGUAGCGGUGGAAUGCGUAGAUAUUAGGUAGAACACCUGAGGCGAAGGCGUCUGUCUGGCUCAUUACUGACACUGAAAUGCGAAAGUAUGGGGAGCAAACAGGAUUAGAUACCCUGGUAGUCCAUACUGUAAACGAUGGGUACUAGGUGUCGGGAGGACUAGCCCUCUCGGUGCCGCAGCAAACGCGUUAAGUACCCCGCCUGGGGAAUACGAUCGCAAGGUUGAAACUCAAAGGAAUUGACGGGGGCCCGCACAAGCGGUGGAGCAUGUGGUUUAAUUCGAUGCAACGCGAAGAACCUUACCUGGGCUUGAACUGCAUUUGGCGUAUGUAGAGAUACAUAUUUCUCAGCAAUGGGACAGGUGCAGAGGUGCUGCAUGGCUGUCGUCAGCUCGUGUCGUGAGAUGUUGGGUUAAGUCCCGCAACGAGCGCAACCCUUAUCAUUAGUUACCAGCGAGUGAAGUCGGGGACUCUAAUGAGACUGCCCGGGUUAACCGGGAGGAAGGUGGGGAUGACGUCAAGUCCUCAUGGCCCUUAUGUCCAGGGCUACACACGUGCUACAAUGGGCGGUACAGAGUGUUGCAAGACCGCGAGGUCAAGCCAAUCACAAAAACCGCUCUCAGUUCGGAUUGGAGUCUGCAACUCGACUCCAUGAAGCUGGAAUCGCUAGUAAUCGCGGAUCAGCAUGCCGCGGUGAAUACGUUCCCGGGCCUUGUACACACCGCCCGUCACACCAUGGAAGUCUGUAGUGCUCGAAGUAACUGGUCCAACCCGCAAGGGAAGAAGGUUACUAAGGCAAGACAGGUAACUGGGGUGAAGUCGUAACAAGGUAGCGGUACCGGAAGGUGUCGCUG